rnacentral:tRNA from 1 species
GGGCCAUUAGCUCAAUUGGUAGAGCAGCGGACUCUUAAUCCGUUUGUUCGGGGUUCGAGUCCCUGAUGGCCCACCA